AUGGCGUGCCCGGCGGCGGCGCUGCUCCUGCCGCUCCUGCUCGGCUUCCUGGCGCCGGCGCGGGCCACCGACCCCUACGCCUUCUUCGACUGGGACGUCUCCUACGUCACCAGAUCCCCGCUCGGCGUCCCGCAGAAGGUGAUCGCGAUCAACAAGGAGUUCCCGGGCCCCGUCGUCAACGUCACCACAAACUACAACGUCGCCGUCAACGUCCUCAACAGCCUCGACGAGCCGCUCUUAAUCACCUGGGACGGCAUCCAGCAGCGGAAGAACUGCUGGCAGGACGGGGUGCUGGGCACCAACUGCCCCAUCCCGCCGGGCUGGAACUGGACCUACAACUUCCAGGUCAAGGACCAGAUCGGCAGCUUCUUCUACUUCCCGCCGCUCUCCAUGCAGCGCGCCGCGGGCGGCUUCGGUGGCAUCACCGUCAACAACCGCGCCGUCAUCUCCGUCCCCUUCGACACCCCCGACGGCGACAUCAGGCUCUUCAUCGGCGACUGGUACAAGAAGAACCACACGGACCUCAGGAAGAUGCUCGAUGACGGGAAGGAGCUCGGGAUGCCUGACGGUGUUCUGAUGAACGGCAAGGGGCCGUAUCGGUACAAUGACUCCCUCGUCCCGGCUGGGAUCGAGUACGAGACCAUCGAUGUUGAGCCAGGCAAAACGUACCGCUUCAGAGUCCACAACGUGGGCAUCUCCACCAGCUUGAACCUGAGGAUCCAGGGCCACAACAUGGCCAUGGUCGAGACAGAGGGCUCCUAUACGAUGAAGCAGAAUUUCACCAACCUCGACAUCCAUGUGGGGCAGUCCUACUCCUUUCUGGUCACGAUGGACCAGAAUGCAAGCAGCGACUAUUACAUCGUGGCCAGCGCUCGGUUCGUGAACGAGUCGCUCUGGACCAGGGUCACUGGCGUUGCAAUUCUGCACUACUCGAAUUCAAAGGGCAAGGCGUCUGGUCCACUCCCUGAUCCGCCGAAUGAUGAGUACGACAAAACCUUCUCCAUGAACCAGGCACGGUCAAUCAGGAUGAACGUGACCACUGGUGCUGCUCGUCCGAACCCUCAAGGAUCAUUUCACUAUGGCCAAAUCAACGUGACCCAAGUGUACAAGCUGAGGAACAUGCCACCUGUUACCAUCAAUGGCAAAAAGCGGACUACGCUGAAUGGCAUCUCUUACUCCCCGCCUGCUACUCCAUUGAGGCUUGCGGAUCUCUAUGACAAGAAAGAAGUCUACACACUCGACUUCCCAACCAUGCCGUCUGAUGGACCGCCGGUUAUCAGGUCUUCUGUCAUCAACUCGACGUACAAGAACUUCAUGGAGAUUGUGUUUCAGAACAAUGACACGAAAGUUCAGACCUACCAUAUCGAUGGAUACGCCUUCUGGGUCGUAGGAAUGGACUACGGUGAGUGGACCGACAACAGCCGUGGGACAUACAACAAGUGGGAUGGUGUUUCCCGUUGCACCACUCAGGUGUUUCCCGGAGCAUGGACCGCCGUCCUGUUGUCGCUUGACAGCCCGGGGUUCUGGAACGUGCGCACGGAGAACCUGGACACGUGGUACCUCGGCCAGGAGACGUACAUCAGGGUGGUGGAUCCUGACGGAGGCUACAACGUGACCGAGUCGGUGUUACCAGACAACGCCCUCUUCUGUGGCCUCCUCAGGGAAAAGCAGAAGGCUCAGAAGCCGCACGGGUCGUCGUCGAGCUCGGCGUCCCCUGCGCUAAAACAGAGUGGCUACCUGCUGCCAUUCUUGGUGUUGCUGGUCGCAUUGGCGGUCAUGGGACACUGA
rnacentral:rRNA from 1 species